UACGGGAGGCAGCAGUGGGGAAUAUUGUACAAUGGGCGCAAGCCUGAUGCAGCCAUGCCGCGUGUAUGAAGAAGGCCUUCGGGUUGUAAAGUACUUUCAGUCGUGAGGAAGGUGUUAAGGUUAAUAACCUUAGCAAUUGACGUUAGCGACAGAAGAAGCACCGGCUAACUCCGUGCCAGCAGCCGCGGUAAUACGGAGGGUGCGAGCGUUAAUCGGAAUUACUGGGCGUAAAGGGCACGCAGGCGGUUAAUUAAGUUGGAUGUGAAAUCCCCGGGCUUAACCUGGGAAUGGCAUUCAAGACUGGUUAGCUAGAGUCUUGUAGAGGGGGUAGAAUUCCAUGUGUAGCGGUGAAAUGCGUAGAGAUGUGGAGGAAUACCGGUGGCGAAGGCGGCCCCUGGACAAAGACUGACGCUCAUGUGCGAAAGCGUGGGGAGCAAACAGGGAUUAGAUACC
rnacentral:rRNA from 1 species